AGGGUUUGACAUGAUACGAAUUUCUUUGAAAGAAGAAAGUGCCGUUUGGAACGUAUACACAGGUGGUGCAUGGCUGACGUCAGCUCGUGUCGUGAGAUGUUGGGUUAAGUCCCGCAACGAGCGCAACCCUUGUUUUUAGUUGCCUUUUAUGGAACUCUAAAAAGACUGCCGGUUAUAAACCGGAGGAAGGUGGGGAUGACGUCAAGUCAGCAUGCCCCUUACACCCUGGGCUACACACGUGCUACAUUGGGCGAGACAAUGAGAUGCAAAUCUGUGAAGACUAGCUAAUCUAUAAACUCGUUCUAAGUUCGGAUUGUAGGCUGCGACUCGCCUACAUGAAGG
rnacentral:rRNA from 1 species